CCUGAUCACCCAUAGGAGGUCCAGCCUGCCCAGUGACUAAGUUAAACGGCCGCGGUACCCUAACCGUGCAAAGGUAGCGCAAUCACUUGUUCUUUAAAUGAGGACUAGUAUGAACGGCAUCACGAGGGUUAUGCUGUCUCCCUACUCUACUCAGUGAAACUGAUCUCCCCGUGAAGAAGCGGGGAUAAAAAUAUAAGACGAGAAGACCCCAUGGAGCUUUAAACUCAGUACCAACUGCCUCAAUAAUAACCUAUUACCCUUGCAGCCAUGGAUACUAGUUUUCGGUUGGGGUGACCACGGAGUAAAAUUUAACCUCCACGAUGAAAGGAGCUAAUAUCCUAACCUAUGAGCUACAGCUCUAAGUAUCAACAAAUUGACUAAUUGACCCAAUUACUUGAUCAACGAACCAAGUUACCCUGGGGAUAACAGCGCAAUCCAUUUCAAGAGCUCAUAUCGACAAAUGGGUUUACGACCUCGAUGUUGGAUCAGGGUAUCCCAGUGGCGCAGCCGCUACUAAUGGUUCGUUUGUUC
rnacentral:rRNA from 1 species